rnacentral:rRNA from 1 species
GGGUAACCUGCCCAAGAGACUGGGAUAACACCUGGAAACAGAUGCUAAUACCGGAUAACAACACUAGACGCAUGUCUAGAGUUUAAAAGAUGGUUCUGCUAUCACUCUUGGAUGGACCUGCGGUGCAUUAGCUAGUUGGUAAGGUAACGGCUUACCAAGGCAAUGAUGCAUAGCCGAGUUGAGAGACUGAUCGGCCACAUUGGGACUGAGACACGGUCCAAACUCCUACGGGAGGCAGCAGGU